rnacentral:rRNA from 1 species
GUAUGGUGCAAGCGUUAUCCGGAUUUACUGGGUGUAAAGGGAGCGCAGGCGGUGCGGCAAGUCUGAUGUGAAAGCCCGGGGCUCAACCCCGGUACUGCAUUGGAAACUGUCGUACUAGAGUGUCGGAGGGGUAAGCGGAAUUCCUAGUGUAGCGGUGAAAUGCGUAGAUAUUAGGAGGAACACCAGUGGCGAAGGCGGUCGCCUGGUCUGUAACUGACACUGAGGCACGAAAGCGUGGGGAGCAAAUAGGAUUAGAUACCCUAGUAGUCCACGCCGUAAACGAUGAGAACUAAGUGUUGGAGGAAUUCAGUGCUGCAGUUAACGCAAUAAGUUCUCUGCCUGGGGAGU